rnacentral:rRNA from 1 species
GUGUCCUACGGGGCGCAGCAGUAGGGAAUCUUCGGCAAUGGGCGAAAGCCUGACCGAGCAACGCCGCGUGAAUGAAGAAGGCCUUCGGGUUGUAAAAUUCUGUUAUAAGGGAAGAAAGGUGAUAGGAGGAAAUGACUAUCAAUUGACGGUACCUUAUGAGAAAGCCACGGCUAACUACGUGCCAGCAGCCGCGGUAAUACGUAGGUGGCAAGCGUUAUCCGGAAUUAUUGGGCGUAAAGGGCUCGUAGGCGGUUCGUCGCGUCCGGUGUGAAAGUCCAUCGCUUAACGGUGGAUCCGCGCCGGGU